rnacentral:rRNA from 1 species
CGGGUGAGUAACGCGUAUGCAACCUACCUUCAACAGGGAGAUAGCCCGAAGAAAUUCGGAUUAAUACCCCAUAACACACUAAGACGGCAUCGUUUAAGUGUUAAAACUCAGGUGGUUGAAGAUGGGCAUGCGUAACAUUAGUUAGUUGGUAAGGUAAUGGCUUACCAAGACAAUGAUGUUUAGGGGUUCUAAAAGGAAGGUCCCCCACACUGGUACUGAGACACGGACCAGACUCC